GACGAACGCUGGCGGCGUGCCUAAUACAUGCAAGUAGAACGCACAGUUUAUACCGUAGCUUGCUACACCAUAGACUGUGAGUUGCGAACGGGUGAGUAACGCGUAGGUAACCUGCCUGGUAGCGGGGGAUAACUAUUGGAAACGAUAGCUAAUACCGCAUAAUAUUGAUUAUUGCAUGAUAAUUGAUUGAAAGAUGCUAUUGCAUCACUACCAGAUGGACCUGCGUUGUAUUAGCUAGUAGGUGAGGUAACGGCUCACCUAGGCGACGAUACAUAGCCGACCUGAGAGGGUGAUCGGCCACACUGGGACUGAGACACGGCCCAGACUCCUACGGGAGGCAGCAGUAGGGAAUCUUCGGCAAUGGACGAAAGUCUGACCGAGCAACGCCGCGUGAGUGAAGAAGGUUGUCGGAUCGUAAAGCUCGGUUGUAAGAGAAGAACGGGUGUGAGAGUGGAAAGUUCACACUGUGACGGUAGCUUACCAGAAAGGGACGGCUAACUACGUG
rnacentral:rRNA from 1 species